AUUGAACGCUGGCGGAAUGCUUUACACAUGCAAGUCGAACGGCAGCACGGACUUCGGUCUGGUGGCGAGUGGCGAACGGGUGAAUAAUGUAUCGGAACGUGCCCAGUCGUGGGGGAUAACGUAGUGAAAAUUACGCUAAUACCGCAUACGAUCUAUGGAUGAAAGCGGGGGAUCGCAAGACCUCGCGCGAUUGGAGCGGCCGAUAUCAGAUUAGGUAGUUGGUGGGGUAAAGGCCCACCAAGCCAACGAUCUGUAGCUGGUCUGAGAGGACGACCAGCCACACUGGAACUGAGACACGGUUCAGACUCCUACGGGAGGCAGCAGUGGGGAAUUUUGGACAAUGGGCGAAAGCCUGAUCCAGCCAUUCCGCGUGCAGGAUGAAGGCCCUCGGGUUGUAAACUGCUUUUGUACAGAACGAAAAGGUUUCUACUAAUACUAGGAGCUCAUGACGGUACUGUAAGAAUAAGCACCGGCUAACUACGUGCCAGCCGCCGCAGUAA
rnacentral:rRNA from 1 species